AUGAACGCUGGCGGCGUGCCUAAUACAUGCAAGUCGAGCGAACAGACGAGGAGCUUGCUCCUCUGACGUUAGCGGCGGACGGGUGAGUAACACGUGGAUAACCUACCUAUAAGACUGGGAUAACUUCGGGAAACCGGAGCUAAUACCGGAUAAUAUAUUGAACCGCAUGGUUCAAUAGUGAAAGACGGUUUUGCUGUCACUUAUAGAUGGAUCCGCGCCGCAUUAGCUAGUUGGUAAGGUAACGGCUUACCAAGGCAACGAUGCGUAGCCGACCUGAGAGGGUGAUCGGCCACACUGGAACUGAGACACGGUCCAGACUCCUACGGGAGGCAGCAGUAGGGAAUCUUCCGCAAUGGGCGAAAGCCUGACGGAGCAACGCCGCGUGAGUGAUGAAGGUCUUCGGAUCGUAAAACUCUGUUAUUAGGGAAGAUCAAAUGUGUAAGUAACUAUGCACGUCUUGACGGUACCUAAUCAGAAAGCCACGGCUAACUACGUG
rnacentral:rRNA from 1 species